AUUGAACGCUGGCGGCAUGCCUUACACAUGCAAGUCGAACGGUAACGGGCCUUCGGGUGCCGACGAGUGGCGAACGGGUGAGUAAUGCAUCGGAACGUACCUUUCAGUGGGGGAUAACGUAGCGAAAGUUACGCUAAUACCGCAUAUUCUGUGAGCAGGAAAGCAGGGGAUCGCAAGACCUUGCGCUGAUUGAGCGGCCGAUAUCAGAUUAGCUAGUUGGUGAGGUAAAGGCUCACCAAGGCGACCGAUCUGUAGCGGGUCUGAGAGGAUGAUCCGCCACACUGGAACUGAGACACGGUCCAGACUCCUACGGGAGGCAGCAGUGGGGAAUUUUGGACAAUGGGGGCAACCCUGAUCCAGCCAUGCCGCGUGAGUGAAGAAGGCCUUCGGGUUGUAAAGCUCUUUCGGCCGGGAAGAAAUCGUAUGGGUUAAUACCCUGUGCGGAUGACGGUACCGGCAUAAGAAGCACCGGCUAACUACGUG
rnacentral:rRNA from 1 species